UGAUUGGAGACUUGCACUAACCCUGUGUCUUAAAAUCGUGUUUCCUUGGCCAUUGUUGACGUGGGACAGAGUUAUUGAAAACAAAAACAAAACCUUGCUUUCAUAGCAGCACAGGCUUCUAUUUAGUUAAGAUAAUAUUCUUUUGAAAUUCAGUUUCCCCUGCUCCACUGUGGGGCAAGGGGCAGGAGAAAUGUGGAAAAAUCUGAAACAUUUCCUGCCUGGUAUCCAGAACUUGAAGAAGAAGAGGACGGGGCUUUCAAAAUCGCCCUAGUGUCUCUCUGCCUCCCCUGCCACUGCCAGCCAGUGCUCCAGGUCUUGGGCUUCAGAAGCCAUCAAGUGUCACGGUGGACAAAGGGCUGUGUGGUGCCGGGGCCCUAUUAUUAGGCCGCCUGAUUUGCUUCGAACAAAGAGAUGGGCGUGUUUUCUCUCUCCACACUCAGCUGGAGGUGGCAGUCAGAAAGCUGGCCUGAGGCAUGUUCGGGAUUCCAAGGAGUCUGUGUGCACAACUAAUUCCAAAUGACUAUUUUCGAUGUAUUUAGAGGGAGUGCGGCCUAAGGGGGCAGGCCUGGCAAGUCAGGGAAGCGUGGCGCUGGCGCUGCCUCUGCUCCCCACUCACUGUGACCUUGAGGAGGACUCUCAGCGUGCCCUCGUGGAGAGCAGUCUCUUAGUGUGACCUUUGGAAGCCCAUUCACUCACUGUGACCUCAGAAAGACCAUUCACUGUAACUUGGAGAGACCAUUCUGUGCGUGCGGCCUUGGAGAGACGAUUCCUUUGUGUCACCCACUCCGAACAUGGGCAGGUCAUGCACUGAAGCGUGGAGGUGCUCACAUCUCCCCCAGAGCCUCAGCAUCUGUCUGUAAAAUGAGGCAGUUGCAGAGUUCUCUUUCUCCACAUCUCCCCUGUGGAGUCAUGCACACAACAUGCAGGCAUAUAUCCACAAAGGCCUUCAGCUUUGUCCAUUUCUGUGGCUGUUGCUUUGAGGUUUUGUUGUGGAUUCUUUC
rnacentral:lncRNA from 12 species